AAACAUACUUGAACGGGGUCAACAGGCGAUCAAUAGACUCAUGGCCUAGGCUUGCGACCUCCAUUGCACUUUGGAGGACUGCCAGCAUAAGGUUAGCCCAAGUGGUCAAGCCUAUGUCAUAAUUUGCCACAGGCCUGCUUUCACGCAGCCCCUAC
rfam:Capsicum annuum cultivar Zunla-1 unplaced genomic scaffold scaffold1110, whole genome shotgun sequence